UACGGGGGGGGCAAGCGUUGUUCGGAAUUACUGGGCGUAAAGGGUGCGUAGGCGGCGCGGUAAGUCGGGUGUGAAAUCUCGGAGCUUAACUCCGAAACUGCAUUCGAUACUGCCGUGCUUGAGGACUGGAGAGGAGACUGGAAUUUACGGUGUAGCGGUGAAAUGCGUAGAUAUCGUAAGGAAGACCAGUGGCGAAGGCGGGUCUCUGGACAGUUCCUGACGCUGAGGCACGAAGGCCAGGGGAGCAAACGGG
rnacentral:rRNA from 1 species